rnacentral:lncRNA from 1 species
UCUUCCGUUUUAAAUUUCAAAAUUAAUGGUGAUAGAAUCACCAUUAAAUGUGAUUCCUACAAUUUUGGAGCCUUUUAGGGUAGAAUCUAUCUAUUUUUGGUUUGGUAAAUUUUUGUAAACAAAAUAUGGUAUAGGUGGGUAAAUACCAAACCAUACACAAUUUUGGUAAUAAGGUUUGCUAUAUGGUAUAUAUAGGUAAAAAUCCCAUUAAAGAUCAGUGUACGAAAGAACUACAUUGGGCCCAUUGAGAGCACAAGUGAGAAAAAAAUAGGCCGAUGCCCUUUUCGAAUCCCUCUCAGCAAAAAAUAUUAGGCAAUUAUUUCACAAUUGAUGAAUCAAAUCAUUUUAAAGAAGGGAUUUUUAUAUACCUAUACCAUAUAGCAAACCUUAUUACCAAAAAUGUUCAUAAUAUUGUAUUUACCCGCCUAGU